AACGCGAAGAACCUUACCUACCCUUGACAUCCAAAGAAUUUUGCAGAGAUGUGAAAGUGCCGAAAGGAACUUUGAGACAGGUGCUGCAUGGCUGUCGUCAGCUCGUGUUGUGAGAUGUUGGGUUAAGUCCCGUAACGAGCGCAACCCUUAUCCUUAGUUGCCAACGCGUAAUGGCGGGGACUCUAAGGAGACUGCUGGUGAUGAACCGGAGGAAGGCGGGGACGACGUCAAGUCAUCAUGGCCUUUAUGGGUAGGGCUACACACGUGCUACAAUGGACAGUACAGAGGGUUGCCAAACUGCGAAGUGGAGCCAAUCUCAGAAAGCUGUUCGUAGUCCAGAUUGAAGUCUGCAACUCGACUUCAUGAAGUCGGAAUCGCUAGUAAUCGCGAAUCAGAAUGUCGCGGUGAAUACGUUCCCGGGCCUUGUACACACCGCGCAUA
rnacentral:rRNA from 1 species